rnacentral:rRNA from 1 species
AGUGGCGGACGGGUGAGUAACGCGUGGGUAACCUGCCUUAUACAGGGGAUAACAGUUAGAAAUGACUGCUAAUACCGCAUAAGCGCACAGGAUUGCAUGAUCCGGUGUGAAAAACUCCGGUGGUAUAAGAUGGACCCGCGUCUGAUUAGCUUGUUGGUGAGGUAACGGCCCACCAAGGCGACGAUCAGUAGCCGACCUGAGAGGGUGACCGGCCACAUUGGGACUGAGACACGGCCCAAACUCCUACGGAGGCAGCAUG